rnacentral:rRNA from 1 species
GACGAACGCUGGCGGCGUGCUUAACACAUGCAAGUCGAACGGAAAGGCCCUGCUUUUGUGGGGUGCUCGAGUGGCGAACGGGUGAGUAACACGUGAGUAACCUGCCCUUGACUUUGGGAUAACUUCAGGAAACUGGGGCUAAUACCGGAUAGGAGCUCCUGCUGCAUGGUGGGGGUUGGAAAGUUUCGGCGGUUGGGGAUGGACUCGCGGCUUAUCAGCUUGUUGGUGGGGUAGUGGCUUACCAAGGCUUUGACGGGUAGCCGGCCUGAGAGGGUGACCGGCCACAUUGGGACUGAGAUACGGCCCAGACUCCUACGGGAGGCAGCAGUGGGGAAUAUUGCACAAUGGGCGGAAGCCUGAUGCAGCAACGCCGCGUGCGGGAUGACGGCCUUCGGGUUGUAAACCGCUUUCGCCUGUGACGAAGCGUGAGUGACGGGAAUGGGGAAAGAAGCACCGGCGAACUACGG